AUUGAACGCUGGUGGCAUGCCUUACACAUGCAAGUCGAACGGUAACAGGUCUUCGGAUGCUGACGAGUGGCGAACGGGUGAGUAAUACAUCGGAACGUGCCUAGUAGUGGGGGAUAACUACUCGAAAGAGUGGCUAAUACCGCAUGAGAUCUACGGAUGAAAGCAGGGGAUCGCGAGACCUUGUGCUACUAGAGCGGCCGAUGGCAGAUUAGGUAGUUGGUGGGAUAAAAGCUUACCAAGCCGACGAUCUGUAGCUGGUCUGAGAGGACGAUCAGCCACACUGGGACUGGGACACGGCCCAGACUCCUACGGGAGGCAGCAGUGGGGAAUUUUGGACAAUGGGCAAAAGCCUGAUCCAGCAAUGCCGCGUGCAGGAUGAAGGCCUUCGGGUUGUAAACUGCUUUUGUACGGAACGAAAAGCCCCGGGUUAAUACCCUGGGGUCAUGACGGUACCGUAAGAAUAAGCACCGGCUAACUACGUGCCAGCAGCAGCCGCAG
rnacentral:rRNA from 1 species